UGGGGAAUAUUGCGCAAUGGGGGCAACCCUGACGCAGCAACGCCGCGUGCAGGAAGAAGGUCUUCGGAUUGUAAACUGUUGUCGCAAGGGAAGAAGACAGUGACGGUACCUUGUGAGAAAGUCACGGCUAACUACGUGCCAGCAGCCGCGGUAAUACGUAGGUGACAAGCGUUGUCCGGAUUUACUGGGUGUAAAGGGCGCGUAGGCGGACUGUCAAGUCAGUCGUGAAAUACCGGGGCUUAACCCCGGGGCUGCGAUUGAAACUGACAGCCUUGAGUAUCGGAGAGUAAAGCGGAAUUCCUAGUGUAGCGGUGAAAUGCGUAGAUAUUAGGAGGAACACCAGUGGCGAAGGCGGCUUUCUGGACGACAACUGACGCUGAGGCGCGAAAGUGUGGGGAGCAAACAGG
rnacentral:rRNA from 1 species